UACGUAGGGUGCAAGCGUUGUCCGGAAUUAUUGGGCGUAAAGAGCUCGUAGGCGGUCUGUCGUGUCGGCUGUGAAAUCCCGAGGCUCAACCUCGGGUCUGCAGUCGAUACGGGCAAACUGGAGUACUGCAGGGGAGACUGGAAUUCCUGGUGUAGCGGUGGAAUGCGCAGAUAUCAGGAGGAACACCGGUGGCGAAGGCGGGUCUCUGGGCCAUUACUGACGCUGAGGAGCGAAAGCGUGGGGAGCGAACAGG
rnacentral:rRNA from 1 species